UCCUACGGGAGGCAGCAGUGAGGAAUAUUGGUCAAUGGGCGCAAGCCUGAACCAGCCACGUCGCGUGAAGGAAGACGGCCCUACGGGUUGUAAACUUCUUUUGUAAGGGAAUAAAGUGUAGUACGUGUACUAUUUUGCAUGUACCUUACGAAUAAGGAUCGGCUAACUCCGUGCCAGCAGCCGCGGUAAUACGGAGGAUCCGAGCGUUAUCCGGAUUUAUUGGGUUUAAAGGGUGCGCAGGCGGGAGAUUAAGUCGGCGGUGAAAUUUUGCAGCUUAACUGUAAAAGUGCCUUCGAAACUGGUUUCCUUGAGUGUAGAUGAAGUAGGCGGAAUUUGUGGUGUAGCGGUGAAAUGCAUAGAUAUCACGAGGAACUCCGAUUGCGCAGGCAGCUUACUAAACUACUACUGACGCUCAGGCACGAAGGCGUGGGGAUCAAACAGGAUUAGAUACCCUGGUAGUCCACGCAGUAAACGAUGAUUACUCGCUGUUUGCGAUAUACAGUAAGCGGCUUAGCGAAAGCGUUAAGUAAUCCACCUGGGGAGUACGUUCGCAAGAAUGAAACUCAAAGGAAUUGACGG
rnacentral:rRNA from 1 species